UGCCCUUGGGAGCCUUUGAAAAACCACCUCUGACUUGACCUGGGUUUCCUGUUCCCCAUGAGUGCUCCAGGGCUGCGCCUAAGCCUGUGUCAUGGAACUCAGGGGUGAGCCUUGGGGUUGGCACCGGGACCAGGCCAUGACCUCUCUUAGUCAUGGAGAAUUUUCCUUGGAAAAUUCCUUAUCUGGCAACCCAGAGGGCCCCGCACCACACGGAGUCAUAUAUGAAGCACUGAUCACACCGUGCCCUCUAGGCCUGAGUCCCUCGUGUGAUUUAAGGAAAGUCUCUGUUACUCCCCAGUCUGCUUCCCUGUUCUCAGACAACUAAAGGGAUCCAGAGGCACUGCAACAUUCAUUCAUUCAUUCAUUCAUUCAGCAGUUAUUUGCCACGUUCCUGCCUUGGCCGGACCCUGUGCCAGGUGCUGGGGGCACAGUGGUGAACUGCCAUUGUUGUGGAGGCUUCAGUUCAUAAAAGAUUGAACUGUAAAGUGUAUAAAGAUUGUAAAGUAUACAAUUCUCAUUGAAUUGUAUACUUUAAAUGAGUCAGUUACAUGGCAUGUGAAUUACAUCUCUAUAAAACUGGUUUUGAAAGAUGAUGAAUGUGUCGAGAGCUGUGAAAGGGGAAGCCCUAGUGGAGUGGGAGCCCGUGGGCUGCUAUGGGUAGGGGAGUUAGAGAGACUGCUCUGAGCAUGCGAUGUCGAAAGCUGAAGCAUACGUGGAAGGUGCCCCGGCGCAAGGAGUGAGGGGACAGCAUUGUAGGCAGAAGAAAGAGCAUGGGCUUCGGGGCACACAGAUCUGGUGUGAGUCUCAGCCCUGCCCUUUGUUCGCUGUGUCCUUAUCAGGAAUGAUGGCCCUCAAUUUAGCCCCUGCUGUGUGCAAGCACUGUGCUAGAUGUUUACAUGUCUCAACUCAAAAUCCCCACAACUCCGUGAGGUAGACUGAAUGAUGACCCCAGGUUUACAGACGUGGAAAGAUACUGAGGCAUUAAAUAACCUGCCAGUGAUCCUAGGUCUGUCCGACCCGAGCCUGUGUGUUUAACCACCAUAUUCUGCCUCCCAAAGGGCUGUUUCUUCUGUAUGUCGGGUAAUCACACCUCUGCGACGUACUCUGAAACAGCAUCUGAAGAGCUCCAGGUUUCUCUUUCUUCCUUAUUUUCUGAGCUUCAGGGCCUUUAUGGAUUGAAAGCUGGAAGCUAAGAACGGGGCUGGAUCUGACACUGGUCCUAGUGUUGGGGAAGGGCACUGUUGAGUGAUGAGUCCCAUCUCAGCUCUUCCUUCCCUCCCUUCCCUCUGCCCCAUUCCCUCUGCCUGCUCUGCCCACCUAUCUCUAGUAGGACUUCCCUGACCUUCUCCCUUUAUUUCCCUGCUUUUUAGGGGAAUAUUUGUCAAUUAUUUUUUGGUCCCCAAAGAACUCUACAUUUUGGAGCUUUACAUGUUUAUUUAGUACAACAUAUUUUAACUGUGGUGAUAGAAAUUCAGACUGGAAGAAGAAUCACUCAGAAUAUAAAGUUCCUUUUAGUAGGCCCCUCUCCUCCACUCGGCCCUUCUCCCCACUUCCCUUCCACGCUGGGCCGGCAGAUGCCAUGCUUCUGGGGUCUGGUCAUUGAGGCAGAUAACCCCCUACUUCAGAUAACUUGGCUGCAUUUUUUGUGUGGCUGACGCAGCCCCACCGGCUGUCUGCAAACUCCCUGAAACAGGAUGACAGGCGGGUGUUUCUUGGGCACGUGCUGCGGCGCAGUCAGCUGCACUUGAUGAUGGGUUUGGAUGAACGGGAGAGAGGGGUGGAAGGGGAGAGGGGAGAAGAGGCCAGGAGGACUUUAGAUUGUAGUUACAUAUGCACAAUCUGCCCGUUGUUUUAGGGACAGAUAUGAUGCUGCUUGAGGACUACACGUCUGAUGACAACCCUCCCUCUCACUGCACUUGCCCACCCAAGAGAAGGAGCUCGGUGACAUUUGAGGAUGAAGUGGAACAAAUCAAAGAAGCUGCCAAGAACUCGAUUCUUCAUGUGAAAGCUGAAGUACACAAGUCCUUGGACAGUUACGCAGCAAGCUUGGCCAAAGCCAUUGAGGCCGAAGCCAAAAUCAACUUAUUUGGGGAGGAGGCUUUGCCAGGGGUCUUGGUUACAGCACGGACUGUCCCGGGGGGCGGCUUUGGGGGCCGCCGAGGCAGCAGAACUCUUGUGAGCCAGAGGCUGCAGUUGCAGAGCAUCGAAGAAGGAGAUGUUUUAGCUGCCGAGCAGAGAUGAGGGCCUCAGGGUGCCGUGGGGCUGCAGCCUGAGAGGCUGGCCCGGGGAGGAGUUCCCAUCACUGCCUGUGCCGCGGCCUUGGGAGCAUGUCACUGUGUACAGCUGGCCACACACAGGGAAGAAGCAGCAUCUGGUAUGCAGCCACCAGGACAAGGACUGAAAAUAAUGUCUACAGUCCACAGCUUCAGCGUUUCCAGAGACCACAUGUGAGCUUCUUUUAGGUCCCAGUGAUGGGACCAGAAGCAUCUAAAGCAAAACAAAAAAC
rnacentral:sRNA from 1 species